UUUCGCGGGGGUUUUCUCGUCAGUCGAGGUUGUAAAAAAACGACAAUCAGCAAACAUGCCUGCAUGCCCGCAGGUCGAUGAUUGUGGUUCCUCCCGCCAGUACUCAUAUGUUUGUCUCAAAGAAUACCCCAUGCAUGUAUAAGUAUAAGCAAUCUCCACAGUGAAACUGAGAAUGGCUCAUUACAUCAGUUAUCGUUUAUUUGAUAGUACCUUACUACUUGGAUAACCGUGGUAAUUGUAGAGCUAAUACAUGCUAAAAACCUCGACUUCGGAAGGGGUGUAUUUAUUAGAUAAAAAACCAAUGCCCUUCGGGGCUCCUUGGUGAUUCAUGAUAACUUAACGAAUCGCAUGGCCUUGUGCCGGCGAUGGUUCAUUCAAAUUUCUGCCCUAUCAACUUUCGAUGGUAGGAUAGUGGCCUACCAUGGUUUCAACGGGUAACGGGGAAUUAGGGUUCCAUUCCGGAGAGGGAGCCUGAGAAACGGCUACCACAUCCAAGGAAGGCAGCAGGCGCGCAAAUUACCCAAUCCCGACACGGGGAGGUAGUGACAAUAAAUACUGAUACAGGGCUCUUUUGGGUCUUGUAAUUAGAAUGAGUACAAUUUAAAUCCCUUAACGAGGAACAAUUGGAGGGCAAGUCUGG
rnacentral:rRNA from 1 species